UAGGACCAGAUCGCCCCACACGAGCCGCAUGGAGAAUCGCAACUGCCGACGCAAGGAGUUUCCCCUCCGUCACUUCUACCAAUGGUCUCCCAGAGGUGACCAAGGAAAUCCUUGCCAACAUCGCCGCCUCCAGUCGUCCUUGGUGUUCUUCGGUUCGCCAUCGCGUGGAACUUCCGCCAACGCCGUAGAAGCCGCGCCUGAGGACGGAGCCGCCACCGCAACCGAGUUUGAUCCCCGGCCUCCUGGAUCCCGGUGAGACAUCUUGGUGAUCCCCGCGGCCACCCCCGCGGUGCCUCCUGCCCAGUAUGACCCUCAGCGUCGUCCACCCACGACUGCCGGAAACGAGGAAAAGAAAGUAGAGGAUAUAUCUUCAUUAUACAUGAAUGAGCCCGGAGGCGAUCAGGUUCGAAUUAAUAUUAUGGUUCAUGCUAGCUUUUUGGUGCCUUCCGAUUUUUAGUCAGUUUUUGUGCUAUGCAUGGUCAUAACUGCAUCAAGGGUUGUAUUUUACUAUUUUUGUAGUUGAAUAAAUUGUAUGCUUUCCAAGCCAGAAGAUAUGAUUAUAUAUAGGAUACGUCUUCAAUUGUGUGCAUACACUAUUACGUCCUGUGUUACAAGGGCAGUGGUUGUUUCUGUGGAGGAGACGAGCGAUUCAGCCAGCCCAACAGUUCAGCUGGCAGGAGCGUGAUCGAUUCAGAAGCACCAGUAGCCCAAACAUUUCAGCUGGAAGGUUUGAUCGUGAUUUUUCUGAUUUCAAUUAGAUUUUAGCUUAUUUCCAUGGUCCCUUUUCGUGCUUUUAACUGGGAGCAGGGCCAAGCUACGAGCAGCAUCAGGUGACGAGUUCUGGAGAGGCCCCAUCGAUUAUCUACGGGAGUAUGGGAUCAGGAACUGGUACACUUGGUGAACUUUACAGAAGAAGGUUGAGUUCGAUCUUAUUUCGGAUAGACAAGUUGACUCAUUUAACCAGCAAUGACCAAUUGAUCUUCAAGCCAUUAUAGAGUAAUGAAUCUGAUUAAAGAGGAACCAGAGGACAUAAACAUUUCAAGUGAGAUGGAAGGGUACGUGUUGUACACAGGGGAUGAACUAGGCUUCGCCAAAAGGAAACAUGCUGUGGCAUACAGCUUAGCCAAACAAGGAAACUAGAUCGCAGGUGGCGAAGCCCUUCCCCCUGGAGGAGCUCCUUGCAACGUCACAUCAGUCCUUCCUGACUGCGCAUUUGGUGCGUGGGCGGCGUGUAGAAGUCUGAGCUGCGCAUUUGGAAGUAGAUGACAGAGUCAAAUGGUCGGGAUCAGAUAAUUAUCUCAAACGAACAUUGAUUUGUUCAAUUUUUUAUUAUUA